GGACUACAAGGGUUUCUAAUCCUGUUUGAUCCCCUUGCUUUCGCGCAUUAGCGUCAGGUCUAAGCUAGAAAACCGCCUUCGCCACCGGUGUUCUUCCACAUAUCUACGCAUUUCACCGCUACUUGUGGAAUUCCGUUUUCUCCGCCUAUCCUCUAGAAUGAUAGUUUCAAAUGCUGUUCCGAGGUUGAGCCCCGGGAUUUCACAUCUGACUUAUCUUUCCGCCUACGCGCCCUUUACGCCCAAUAAAUCCGAUUAAUGCUUGCACCCUCCGUAUUACCGCGGCUGCUGGCAC
rnacentral:rRNA from 1 species